GGAAAGUUGGCCGAGCGGUCGAAGGCGCACGUCUUGAAAACGUGAUUCGGUGAUGAGCCGAACCGGGGUUCGAAUCCCUGACUUUCCGCCA
rnacentral:tRNA from 1 species